GGGGGCGAAAAGGUUUCGACAGGGAUAUUUGAUCUAAAAGGAGCAUGCCGGCCUCGUCAGGUCGCCGUCCCUAACGGGAUCCUGAAGUCCCAACUUUGUUGGGGCUGAAGGGUAAAAUACCUGGCAAAAACUUAAUUGCCAACGAGCAGUUAGCUUACGCCUGCUAAAGAGCAGGCGCGCUCCUCCCAUCUUGUCUGUGGAAUGGGAUGUGGGCGUCAGAGACACAGGAUAGUCUCCCCUUCUCGUUUGAGGGAUAGGAGAUGAAAAUUCAUCAAACUGGUUCCGAUCAAUCCCACUAACAGGAGUGAUCGGGAUGAGAAAAAAAUGUUGGCUAAGCAUGUAGGGCCUUUAGAAAGAUGUUCUUGGACACGGGUUCGAUUCCCGUCGCCUCCACGC
rnacentral:tmRNA from 1 species